ensembl:lncRNA
CAAAAUAAUUUCCAUGGCUUUCAAUGAUGGACUAAAAUCAACAAAAGAACCUCUAGCAAAAAAAUUGAAAAGUAAACUCCCAAAGUUUCUCUUGCCCAGGGCCUGCUCCCAGCCAUCUCUCCCUCUGACUGUCUCGCUUCCUCCCGCUUUCCUCAUGUGACAGAUUUAAAGCCCAAGACCCCCAACUCAGCCUGUGAAGACCUGAGACAGGAAGCCAGGACCAGUUCUACUUUGCAUGUCAGAGCCAACAGCCUCUCUUGGUCUCUCUUGGUCUUUUUAUUCUGAUGUGAAGAAGGAAGUUCUUCUAAACCAUAGAAGAAUUUGGAUGCUUUAGAGACUUCCAGAGAAAGGUGUUUGAAGAAAUCAGAAGAGUUCUUAGGAGACAGGCAGUAGAAAAAGAGGAAAGACUCCUGAAGCUGAGACCUCAAUGAUCCGGUGAUGCUGUCUGUGAUUCUCCAGGACAAGAAACAUCCUGGGAGCUGAAAACAUCCUGGGAGGAACAAAACAUCCACUCAGUUCCUCAUUAUUCUUGGACCUUUACCAUCUUGUUUACGCGGAUGUACUGAACUCUCUGCAAACCAUUUGUUACCUUUGUUUCUCCCAAUGUACUGAAUAAAAGGUGCAGUAAGCUGGGGGCUUUUGUCUUUGCUGCCCAGAGCAGCACUGAUCAGACCCGAAGCUCAGCUUCUUCUCAGUCUCGUUUUUCUACCUUUCCUGUAG